rnacentral:rRNA from 2 species
GGACGAACGCUGGCGGCGUGCCUAAUACAUGCAAGUUGAGCGAUGAAGAUUGGUGCUUGCACCAAUUUGAAGAGCAGCGAACGGGUGAGUAACGCGUGGGGAAUCUGCCUUUGAGCGGGGGACAACAUUUGGAAACGAAUGCUAAUACCGCAUAACAACUUUAAACAUAAGUUUUAAGUUUGAAAGAUGCAAUUGCAUCACUCAAAGAUGAUCCCGCGUUGUAUUAGCUAGUUGGUGAGGUAAAGGCUCACCAAGGCGAUGAUACAUAGCCGACCUGAGAGGGUGAUCGGCCACAUUGGGACUGAGACACGGCCCAAACUCCUACGGGAGGCAGCAGUAGGGAAUCUUCGGCAAUGGACGAAAGUCUGACCGAGCAACGCCGCGUGAGUGAAGAAGGUUUUCGGAUCGUAAAACUCUGUUGGUAGAGAAGAACGUUGGUGAGAGUGGAAAGCUCAUCAAGUGACGGUAACUACCCAGAAAGGGACGGCUAACUACGUGCCAGCAGCCGCGGUAAUACGUAGGUCCCGAGCGUUGUCCGGAUUUAUUGGGCGUAAAGCGAGCGCAGGUGGUUUAUUAAGUCUGGUGUAAAAGGCAGUGGCUCAACCAUUGUAUGCAUUGGAAACUGGUAG